rnacentral:rRNA from 1 species
AACGAACGCUGGCGGCAGGCCUAACACAUGCAAGUCGAGCGAAGCCUUCGGGCUUAGCGGCGGACGGGUGAGUAACGCGUGGGAACGUGCCCUUUGCUACGGAAUAGCCCCGGGAAACUGGGAGUAAUACCGUAUGUGCCCUUCGGGGGAAAGAUUUAUCGGCAAAGGAUCGACCCGCGUUGGAUUAGGUAGUUGGUGGGGUAAUGGCCUACCAAGCCGACGAUCCAUAGCUGGUUUGAGAGGAUGAUCAGCCACACUGGGACUGAGACACGGCCCAGACUCCUACGGGAGGCAGCAGUGGGGAAUCUUAGACAAUGGGGGAAACCCUGAUCUAGCCAUGCCGCGUGAUCGAUGAAGGCCUUAGGGUUGUAAAGAUCUUUCAGUGGGGAAGAUAAUGACUGUACCCACAGAAGAAGCCCCGGCUAACUCCGUGCAGCCGCCGCCGUAAAAC